rnacentral:tRNA from 1 species
GCCGAAGUGAUGAAAUUGGCAGACGUACUGGACUCAAAAUCCAGCGGUAGUGAUACCAUGUCGGUUCGAGUCCGACCUUCGGCACCA